GAUGAAGAACGUAGCGAAAUGCGAUAAGUAAUGUGAAUUGCAGAAUUCAGUGAAUCAUCGAAUCUUUGAACGCACCUUGCACCCUUUGGCAUUCCGAAGGGUAUGCUCGUUUGAGUGUCAUUGUACUCUCACACUUCCAAUUCUUUGGAUUGGGAGCGGUGGACUUGGGUGCUGCUGCUUACCGUGGCUCACCUCAAAUGUGUUAGUGCAACCGUUGGUUAGACAUAGUACAGCGUGAUAAGUAUCUUCGCUGGCGCCUCACCAGAGGGUGGCUGAUCAGGGCUUUGUGCUUCCAAUCGUCUUCGGACAACCUCUGACAACUUGACCUCAAAUCGAGUAGGACUACCCGCUGAACUUAAGCAUAUCAAUAAGCGGAGGA
rnacentral:misc_RNA from 1 species